CUAUCUGGCACUAUUUUGUAAACCUCACCUUGUCACUAUAAAAAUGAUCAUCUAAUUUUCAUCUGGAAUUUUAUGGUUUUAUCUUGCCACAUUUGAAUCUGCCUAGGAUUAUUUUUUUCAUGAUGGUGUUGAGUAUGGAUAUGCAGGCUGCAGGGCCAGAGGUAGUGGACGAGUAGGAGGGAAGCGUGUGGAGGUGGAGACAGAAGAGCUGGAAAAGUGAUUGUCGCACCUCCCUGCAAAUCCCCCUUCUCACCGAGUAACUGCACGUGGACGGCUCCGUGUCUGCCACUUGUCUUUCCCACGAUCUCCCUGUCCUGUUUGGCUGUGACGGGCGGAGCUCAGAGUCCAGAGCUUGGACAGCCAGAAGGAGAGGCCGGAGCCCUGCUGCCGUACAUCAAUGAAAAAUUAUGUUUUUUUCCUCCGUGCUACAACACCCGUCAUCUUUAUAGGCAACGCAUUCCCCUUCAAGUCGUGGAGUGUAAAAUGCCUACCAUUUCUCUGCCCCUUUCCCUCCCCGUCAUUUACCUGGUUCUCGGAAAUCGAGGGUCAGUGCCUUCUCUUAUUAAUGUUCUGUGUAAUAGAAAUCAGUGCACUCGUGUUACUCACGUGGAACC
ensembl:lncRNA